rnacentral:rRNA from 1 species
AAGACCUUGCGCUUUUGGAGCGGCCGAUGUCUGAUUAGCUUGUUGGUGAGGUAAAGGCUUACCAAGGCUUCGAUCAGUAGCUGGUCUGAGAGGACGGCCAGCCACACUGGGACUGAGACACGGCCCAGACUCCUACGGGAGGCAGCAGUGGGGAAUUUUGGACAAUGGGCGCAAGCCUGAUCCAGCCAUGCCGCGUGAGUGAAGAAGGCCUUCGGGUUGUAAAGCUCUUUCAGCCGGAACGAAACGGUUACGGUUAAUACCCGUGAUUACUGACGGUACCGGAAGAAGAAGCACCGGCUAACUACGUGCCAGCAGCCGCGGUAAUACGUAGGGUGCGAGCGUUAAUCGGAAUUACUGGGCGUAAAGCGUGCGCAGGUGGUUUUGUAAGUCAGAUGUGAAAGCCCCGGGCUCAACCUGGGAACU